rnacentral:rRNA from 1 species
GUAUUAAAAACAUGGCUUGUUGAUUAUAAUUUCAGGUCGGGCCUGCCCAAUGAGAUGUUAAAUGGCCGCGGUACAUUGACCGUGCAAAGGUAGCAUAAUCACUAGUUCUUUAAUUGAGAGCUUGAAUGAAAGGUUUAAUGAAAAAAUACCUGUCUCUAUUGAAUUUUAUUAAAAUUUUAUUUUUAAGUUAAAAAGCUUAAAUUUUUGUAGAAGACGAGAAGACCCUGUAGAGUUUUAUAGACACAUUAGUAAUUAAAUUUUUGGAUCAAAAUUUUUAUUAAUUUAGGGCGUUUAUUUUAUUGGGGUGAUAGAAAAAUUUAAAAAACUUUUUUUAAAUUAUAAUAUUGAUUUGUWAAAUUUUGAUCUUUCUAKAUMGAUUAUAAGAAUAAACUACCUUAGGGAUAACAGCGUAAUUUUUUUUAGAGUUCUUAUUGAAAAAAAGGUUUGCGACCUCKAUGUUGGAUUAAAGUUAAUUUUCUGGUGUAGAUGCUASAAUUGUGGGUCUGUUCGACCUUUAAAACUUUACAUGAUCUGAGUUUAAACCGGUGU